UACGGGGGGGGCAAGCGUUGUUCGGAAUUACUGGGCGUAAAGGGCUCGUAGGCGGCCAACUAAGUCAGACGUGAAAUCCCUCGGCUUAACCGGGGAACUGCGUCUGAUACUGGAUGGCUUGAGUUUGGGAGAGGGAUGCGGAAUUCCAGGUGUAGCGGUGAAAUGCGUAGAUAUCUGGAGGAACACCGGUGGCGAAGGCGGCGCACUGGACCAUAACUGACGCUGAUGCGCGAAAGCUAGGGGAGCAAACAGG
rnacentral:rRNA from 1 species